AUUGAACGCUGGCGGCAGGCCUAACACAUGCAAGUCGAGCGGCAGCGGGAAAGUAGCUUGCUACUUUUGCCGGCGAGCGGCGGACGGGUGAGUAAUGCCUGGGGAUCUGCCCAGUCGAGGGGGAUAACAGUUGGAAACGACUGCUAAUACCGCAUACGCCUUACGGGGGAAAGGAGGGGACCUUCGGGCCUUUCGCGAUUGGAUGAACCCAGGUGGGAUUAGCUAGUUGGUGGGGUAAUGGCUCACCAAUGCGACGCUCCCUAGCUGGUCUGAGAGGAUGAUCAGCCACACUGGAACUGAGACACGGUCCAGACUCCUACGGGAGGCAGCAGUGGGGAAUAUUGCACAAUGGGGGAAACCCUGAUGCAGCCAUGCCGCGUGUGUGAAGAAGGCCUUCGGGUUGUAAAGCACUUUCAGCGAGGAGGAAAGGUUGUUGGCUAAUACCCAGCAACUGUGACGUUACUCGCAGAAGAAGCACCGGCUAACUCCGUGCCAGCCGCCGCCGUAA
rnacentral:rRNA from 1 species